AUUUUAUUAGUAUAGAGGAGUAUGAUUGUUUUCCAAACAAUAGGUUUAAAUUAUAUAUUUAAAUAAAAUA
rnacentral:tRNA from 1 species